AUCAAAGCUCUCUUGUUUGGUGGCAAAUUAUCUCAAAACUCCCAAAGCUUGGCUGGUUAGCCGUUUGCCAACUCCACGGAACAGAUAGGAUUACUCAUAUCCAGGGAGUGCUUCAGCUUCACUAAUCUAGCUGUAUACUAGUAUUUGCUUAUAGCCUACUUGGCCUCCUCAAGCACUACCAACAAGCAUGCUAAUGCUAUAUUGUUUGCAUCACUCAUGCAAAUGGCGCUGGAGAUGAUGAAAACCAUGUAAUCACUGCAAGAAAGGCUUAUUUGCACUCCCACUCAUCAGCCCGUACUAGCAGGAGCAGCAUGCUCUUCCUGAUGUUGGCUUGGCAUGAUUGUUCUUCAGUUGCUGCAGGUGCAGGCAUGCAGAUCAUUACUUUGGAGACUCCGUAAAAGGUUAAUGCAGAAAGCAUCAUUUAGUUUUAGUGGCGACAUGAUAACUUGGAAGACGAAAAUUGCUGUGCAACUCCAGGUACCUUGUGAAUUGAGCUACCGUAUCUCCAUUCCUUCCUCGUAGUAUUUGUAUAGUUGUACGUGCUCUGUCUGAGGGUAUCAGUAUUCUGUUCCACAACAUGCUGUCAGUUUUGGCUUGGAAAUCUCAAAACGUACUUGCUGAA